rnacentral:misc_RNA from 1 species
ACAAUGAUGUAAUAACUUUCGCAACGAUAACUAAAAGAAUAAUAUAAUGAAUUUUAUUUUGUUUUUUAUGUAUUCAAACUGAAAAUAAUUUUGUGUCAAGGCUACUUAUACCAAUACCAGUGAAGAUGACUGGUAUUUGUCAAAGUGUAAAAGGAUCCUGCAAUCUGUUUAUCGAACCCCAAUUAACCAAUUUCCUCGUUUUCUACAACUUGCCACGCGUUUUUCAAAUCUUUGCUGCGUAUCAUUCGACAUGACGAUAUCAGUUAUCAGGAAAAUCCCGGAUCGAUCGCUGGAUGCUAACGCUAGAAAUACCACAGCAGUCAAAAUGACUGUUUCUACAAUUUUAUAAACGUUCCAACCCUUGUUUAGGGAUCAUAAUCGCAGAUGGAUUAGUAAUACCAAAAAUAUACUACAUAACAUGGAAUUGCUUCUGUAAGAAAGUAACAGAUAAAUAUAAAAAUAUUCUAUUAU